AUGGAAGUAAGUUCCCUUCGGAUCGCAAAACCCUUUCGAAUGAGUAAAUCUGGCUGCCGGGGCCGAUGCCUCACCGGCGACACCGGGUCAGAGUGCACGUCCAUAACCGGUACGUGCGACCCGCGCCCGCCAACAAAUGCUGCAAGAAGCGCUGCAGAAACAGAACGGGCCGGGCGGAUAGAGACGAUCAGUGGCCGUCGGACAGCGAUCCGUGCCGGCCGGUGGCCCUCUCGCCGGCCGCCGCCGGGCCGCUGAAGCAGCGCUGCACCGAGCGCUUCCACUCGGCUGAGGAGGUGUGCCGCGGCUGCGGCGGCGCGGACGUGAGAUACCCGCACGGCCGAGGCGGCGGCGGCGUAUAUGAUAGA